rnacentral:rRNA from 1 species
GAUUAGAUACCCUGGUAGUCCACGCCGUAAACGAUGAGUGCUAGGUGUUAGGUCCUUUCCGGGACUUAGUGCCGCAGCUAACGCAUUAAGCACUCCGCCUGGGGAGUACGACCGCAAGGUUGAAACUCAAAGGAAUUGACGGGGGCCCGCACAAGCGGUGGAGCAUGUGGUUUAAUUCGAAGCAACGCGAAGAACCUUACCAGGUCUUGACAUCCCUCUGACCACUCUAGAGAUAGAGUUUCCCUUCGGGGCAGAGGUGACAGGUGGUGCAUGGUUGUCGUCAGCUCGUGUCGUGAGAUGUUGGGUUAAGUCCCGCAACGAGCGCAACCCUUAUUGUUAGUUGCCAUCAUUCAGUUGGGCACUCUAGCGAGACUGCCGGUAAUAAACCGGAGGAAGGUGGGGAUGACGUCAAAUCAUCAUGCCCCUUAUGACCUGGGCUACACACGUGCUACAAUGGCUGGUACAACGAGUCGCAAGCCGGUGACGGCAAGCUAAUCUCUGAAAGCCAGUCUCAGUUCGGAUUGUAGGCUGCAACUCGCCUACAUGAAGUCGGAAUCGCUAGUAAUCGCGGAUCAGCACGCCGCGGUGAAUACGUUCCCGGGCCUUGUACACACCGCCCGUCACACCACGAGAGUUUGUAACACCCGAAGUCGGUGAGGUAACCGUAAGGAGCCAGCCGCCUAAGGUGGGAUAGAUGUUUGGUUUGAAGUCGUAACAAGGUAGCCG